UGAAUUUCGUAUUGAGUGAACUGAAUUUAAAAAAGUAAAUGCGAGUUCCGCCCGCAUCUAAUGAAAUUCAUAUCCGUUUCUACAGACUUUCUGCUAUUACACACUUAAUAUGAAAAUUUUAAUCAGUCAUGCGGCUUUUAUGUUAAUUUUCGACCUUAAAUUACUAUCCACAAAGACAGGCUGACUUUACAUUUACCUCAAUAUCAUAAAUUACGUCAAUCGUAACGCCGCCGCGUACUUUGUUACAAGCUUCUUCCCGCCAAUUCGCCGCCAGCCGCGAGCUUCUGAGUUCAAUAGGGUUCCAGUUCGCGGCAUUUUAUACAUGCGACAAAUGCGUACAUGAUCUAAACAUUUUUGCUGGUGAAAAUGGGCGAAUUAAAUUCAGAUCCAAGCAUGACACAGUAUCCUGAAUCCGAAGGUAUCAAAUUUUGACUAUAAUAAAAUAUUUACUGAAGAGGGUCCAAGAUCAGGACCGAAACGUAUAGCUAACAUUUGCUUGUUUUUAUUGUAACUGACCUUUCCAAUCGACGACUGAUUGAGUGAUCUAACAUAAAUACAAGUUCGAGACGGAUUUAUCAACAAAAUUUAUUCCACUUAAUUGAAGAUGAUGUGUUACUAAAGAAGCCUCUGACGAAUCGAAACUUGAGUAUAUCGCAAAUACUAUCGACCCAACCCCUCAAUUAUUUCAGUAUUGGAAAGAGACCAGUCCAGUUCGUAAACAUGAGUUUGAUCAAGAAAAGAUAAGCAUAGUGGACUUAUUUAUAAAGUAUAAAUGCCUUCAAAUGCAGUUCGGUGCCGAACUGGUGAGCAUGAUGCCAUUAUCCUUUAUCCUUUGCCUACGCUUAUAAAGCCCAAAAAUCCGGGCCGUUCAGGGAAAAACGCUGAUGAUUUGGGUACCGAAGUACCAGUCAAAAAACAAAGGAAGAGUGGAAAAGCUGCACAAAAAACCCAAUCAAGAGCGUCCGAACCAGAAUCUCAAGAGGCUUUCUUCAUCGUGGUUCCGAUAUGUUGUAGAUUGGAAUCAACUAUAGCGGGACAACCUUUCCUCCUUUAGUUUAAAUUUUUUAUCUUAUCGCUUAGGAAAUUUAAGCAAUACUUUUCUUGCAAACUGCAGCGGGAAUCGAAGCAGCCUUGAAACGUUGAAAAGAAAAUCUUCAUAAACAGGACUUGUCUAUUCAGUUCUUGCCAGUUUUCGUAAGAACGUUAGAAAAGGUCGAAUCUUCGUAUGUUUAUAUAGACACUAAUAUCAUAUAUCGUGUUUAAAGCCCUAUGCUUGCUAUUGAUUUAUAUCUUAAGCUUUUUUUCGCUCUGGAUUGUGAAUAUCCUUUAGACGCGGCUCACGUCUGGUUAUUUAUCCAACAGAUUAGAUUUCGCAUAGUAGAUCCACUAGAUAAGUUUAGCGUGUCCAUGAAUACCUUGAAAGGUGAAAUAGAACAAGUUCUACCGGUAAAAUAGAAGAAGUUCUACCGGUGAUGGAACCGUAUAAUAACUGCUGGUUCCGUAUAGUUUUAAUUAUUUGUUUAAAUGAUCUCAUAUGAAAUGCAUAAUUUUCUUUAGUUCUACUGGUAAUAAAACCAAGUAAUAACUGGC